rnacentral:tRNA from 1 species
GUCCUGGGAGCGUGCUGGAACGCACGCGACCUUGCGAAGGCCGUAGACUUUGCGACGGCCGCAGAUCAGGUUCGAUUCCUGGCGAGGACGC